GCAGGGCGCCUGCAUGGCCGAGGCCUCGUGCCGGGCGGGCGGAGCCAGGGAAGGGGCCGUCGACGUCCACCCGCCGGGGCUGGCCUCCCCGCUCCACCGGAGGCAGCAGCCGCCGCCGCCGCCGCCUUGGGGAACGCCUGGCCGGGCCCGGCGCCAGCCCCAGGGGUAGACUGCCUCUGAGCCCGGAGGCUCGCUCCAUCCACAGGCUCGGUGCCCUCCAGAUUAAGCCCCUGCGGCAAGGCACAAGCGCCAGCGCCCGUCCAGGCUGCGGCCUCCCAGCGCCGCCCACCCGCCAUCCAUCCGGCCCGCCGGGCCAGCUUCCCUUCCCCUCCCCUCCCCUCCGGAGGAGCGCCGCGGGUGUUCCGGGUGGGGUAGACUGCCUCUGAGUCUGGGGGCUCCGCGGGUCUCGGCCGGCGCCCUCCAGGGCCGCUUCGCCGCCGCGGCCAGCAGUGAGUCCCGCGCCGGGAAGAGGAGGAGCGGCAGCAGCAGGCGGCGGCGGGCGGGCGUUGGGCCUCUGCUGCCCCCGGCGGCUCCGCGCGGCACCGCGGCUGCUGCUGCUGCUGCUCCUCCUGCUGGGCGGUCGCAGGGGCCGCCGCCGCCGCUGGGCCCGCCCGGCCUCCGCCGCCGCCUGGUCCCUCCCAGCCAGGCUCGCGUCGCUGCUGCCGCCGCCGCCUCCCUCCCUCCCUGCCUGCCUGCCUGGCUCGCUCUCGCUCGCUCGCUCCCGCCCGCGGCAGCCAUGGCGGCGCUGCACGGCGGCGCGGCGGCCCCCAAGGCGGGCGCCCCGCCGCAGAUCCCGGACACCCGCCGCGAGCUGGCCGAGCUGGUCAAGCGCAAGCAGGAGCUGGCGGAGACGCUGGCCAACCUAGAGCGGCAGAUCUAUGCCUUCGAGGGCAGCUACCUGGAGGACACCCAGAUGUACGGCAACAUCAUCCGCGGCUGGGACCGGUACCUCACCAACCAGAAGAACUCCAACAGCAAGAACGAUCGACGGAACCGCAAGUUCAAGGAGGCCGAGCGCCUUUUCAGCAAGUCAUCUGUGACAUCGGCUGCUGCAGUGAGUGCGUUGGCCGGAGUCCAGGACCAGCUCAUUGAAAAACGGGAGCCCGGCAGCGGGACAGAGAGUGACACGUCCCCGGAUUUCCACAACCAGGAGAACGAGCCCAGCCAGGAGGAAGCCGAAGAGCUGGACGGCUCCGUCCAAGGGGUGAAGCCCCCUAAAGCGGCAUCUUCUGCCUCCUCUGGCAGCCACCACACUAGCCACAAAAAGCGGAAGAACAAAAACCGGCACAGCCCGUCUGGCAUGUUUGAUUAUGACUUUGAGUAUGUAUAUUAGGUUAGGCUGGCAAGUUUUUUAAAAUACAGACAAAAGCGCGAUGGAGGAUUGAUCUCAAGUUGAACAAAAAACCCCGAGCUGACUACUAGGUUUCUCCCCACGGCAGCUUCCAGGAGCUGCUCCUCCUCCCAGCCACUCUCCAUCCCAAGAGACGGAAUAAGCACAAGGCCGGCUGCCUGCCAGACCACACGCUUCCCCUCGGACGACAAUCCCGGGCUGCUGCUUCCUGCCAGUCGGAAAACGGCUCCUGAGCUCCUCUGAUUGGCCAGUCCUUCCGCGCUGCCGUUCCAUCGUGUGUGACAUCGCCCCGUGUGAGAGAGACUCUUGGUGGUCUUCCCUUCCCUUCCCUUCCCUUCCCUUCCCUUCCCGGUCCUUUACCUCUUCCUCCUGAGUUCUUUUUUUGUCUCAUGUACGUUGCAUUUUAUUUUAUUGAUAAAUAAACCUUGAUAUGUGA